UUGGAGGGCAAGUCUGGUGCCAGCAGCCGCGGUAAUUCCAGCUCCAAUAGCGUAUAUUAAAGUUGUCGCAGUUAAAAAGCUCGUAGUUGAAUUUCGGGAUCAAUACGUCGGUCGUGCUUUUUUGGUACGCACUGGCGUCAUUGGUUUCUCCUUUCUGACGAACCAUGAUGUCAUUAAUUUGGUGUUAUGGGGAGUUAGGACUGUUACUUUGAAAAAAUUAGAGUGUUUAAAGCAGGCAUUAGCUUGAAUACAUUAGCAUGGAAUAAUGAAAUAGGACGUUCGAUCCUAUUUUGUUGGUUUCUAGGAUCAACGUAAUGAUUAAUAGGGAUAGUUGGGGGCAUUAGUAUUCAAUUGUCAGAGGUGAAAUUCUUGGAUUUAUUGAAGACUAACUACUGCGAAAGCAUUUGCCAAGGAUGUUUUCAUUAAUCAAGAACGAAAGUUAGGGGAUCGAAGACGAUCAGAUACCGUCGUAGUCUUAACCAUAAACUAUGCCGACUAGGGAUCGGAUGAUGUUGAUUUUUUAAUGACUCAUUCGGCGCCUUACGGGAAAC
rnacentral:rRNA from 1 species